rnacentral:rRNA from 1 species
CAACUUUCAACAACGGAUCUCUUGGCUCUCGCAUCGAUGAAGAACGCAGCGAAAUGCGAUAAGUAAUGUGAAUUGCAGAAUUCAGUGAAUCAUCGAAUCUUUGAACGCACCUUGCGCUCCUUGGUAUUCCGAGGAGCAUGCCUGUUUGAGUGUCA